rnacentral:rRNA from 1 species
CAAUGGAAGAAAGUUUGACGGACCAACGCCGCUUGAGUGAUGAAGGUUUUCGGAUCGUAAAGCUCUGUUGUUAGGGAAGAACAAGUGCAAGAGUAACUGCUUGCACCUUGACGGUACCUAACCAGAAAGCCACGGCUAACUACGUGCCAGCAGCCGCGGUAAUAUGUAGGUGGCAAGCGUUGUCCGGAAUUAUUGGGCGUAAAGGGCUCGCAGGCGGUUUCUUAAGUCUGAUGUGAAAGCCCCCGGCUCAACCGGGGAGGGUCAUUGGAAACUGGGAAACUUGAGUGCAGAAGAGGAGAGUGGAAUUCCACGUGUAGCGGUGAAAUGCGUAGAGAUGUGGAGGAACACCAGUGGCGAAGGCGACUCUCUGGUCUGUAACUGACGCUGAGGAGCGAAAGCGUGGGGAGCGAACAGGAUUAGAUACCCUGGUAGUCCACGCCGUAAACGAUGAGUGCUAGUGUUAGGGGGUUUCCGCCCCUUAGUGCUGCAGCUAACGCAUUAAGCACUCCGCCUGGGGAGUACGGUCGCAAGACUGAAACUCAAAGGAAUUGACGGGGGCCCGCACAAGCGGUGGAGCAUGUGGUUUAAUUCGAAGCAACGCGAAGAACCUUACCAGGUCUUGACAUCCUCUGACAACCCUAGAGAUAGGGCUUUCCCUUCGGGGACAGAGUGACAGGUGGUGCAUGGUUGUCGUCAGCUCGUGUCGUGAGAUGUUGGGUUAAGUCCCGCAACGAGCGCAACCCUUGAUCUUAGUUGCCAGCAUUCAGUUGGGCACUCUAAGGUGACUGCCAGUGACAAACCGGAAGAACGUGGGGAUGACGUCAAAUCAACAUGCCCCUUAUGACCUGGGCUACACACG